rnacentral:lncRNA from 1 species
AUUUUUAACAUUCAAUUUAUGAAUCACAAAUAUUUCAAAUUCCUUGAAGUUAAGUUUUAUUAUGAUGUUAAUAAAAACAUUAUGAGAAUAAUUAAGUCAAUGUAUGUUAUUAUCAUUUAAUGUACGUAUGACCUGAGACCAUAGUCAAGAUACAACAUCAGUACAAAACGAGUAUGAUGCGGAGUUAACUUCUAGAAUUAAGAACAGGAGAAGGUAUGGUUUUGAUUUUAAUGAUAUCAUACGAUUGAUGGAAACUCGCAAUAUGCUACCUAUUUUUAAAACGGGACGUUAAGUCCCUUCAGAAGUGUUAUUUGUAAAUAAUAGUUUCCGCUAGAUUAAUAAACUAUAUACAUUGUAGGGGAUAUGCACUAUUUCUUUACCAUAAACUCACUGCAUGUUUCGGUUUUCUUUUUAUCGACCCUAUAUACAAUGUGUGGCCAAAAAAAAUAAACAAAUGAAAGUUCAAAUAAUACUGAAACAAAAUAAGUCUAAAUUGCACCUCAAUAAUUCCAAAUUAUUCAAAAACAAUGUCUCAAAUAAAAUAAGGACUUAAGUCAUUAUAUAAGUAACACUAAUAAUGAAUUGUUAAUAUUACAUAUUCUACCCAUUAAAGUUUGUUUUUGAUAACUUAUUUGAUAUAUUACAACCUAUCCAAUACUUUUGAGUAAGAUUUUAAGGUUUGUUGUAAAUCAUAUAAUGAUCGAAAUGCUCACUUGUGGGACGAUGAUAACCUCCGAGACAGCGAAGGCGUCGUCUAAGUGCUGUUAAAAUGAAGAAGAAGACAAUAUCGCGUGAUGCAUUUUGUGUCUGAAUCAUUUUUUUCGAUAAACUUUAUUUAGGAACUCCUAAAGCCGAGAAUGUGAAAGCGACGACUGCAUAAAAUUUGAAACAGUUGAAAAACUGUCAAACCAAAGUUACCAACUUCGUUAUUAAUAUUUACUUACUAUUACUCAUAAACACAUCAAACACUUUUUACAGAAGCCAACAAAACAACCGUUUAUGAUGUUACUCUGUAUACAUAUGUUUUACUGUACCGCCGUACCUACUAACAUCUAAUUCUACAGUACAUUUUGAGACAGUAGUGCACUGUUUGUCAGCAAACUGUUUUAUUACAACAAAAAGUACUUUCAAAGACAAUAUUGACAUCGACUUAACAGGAACGUCAAUAGGACAAUGAUGAAAUAGAGAAUAAGAAUUACUGCUAUUUUUCUAGUAUGUUUAGAACUAUUCCAGGGGAUGGUAUAAUUGAACACAGAACUUAAAAAUGUCGAGUAUCACCAAAUAGCUUGAUGGUUAUUAAAUAACUUACCCUUUAAAGUAGAAUAACUUACUUAUAGAAACAACAGCAUAAGACGUAUUGCAAUAUAAAGUAUUCCUAUAUUCGUCAUGAUUUGUUUUCACGAUUUCGGAAUGGUAAAUUAAUUUGCUAUAACGUAUAUCUAUCUUUUUCUACGAUUUUCUUUUGUUAGUACGAAUCCUCAGGAAAGAUGCAAGGACAGAAUGCAGGCAUGUUUAGAUGGUUGCGAACAUACUCUAUCAACGUCGUAUGAAGUACAAGAACAAACAAAGCUAUGGAAAUCGUUUUUAAAUAUUUGACAGG